rnacentral:rRNA from 2 species
ACGGGUGAGUAACACGUGGGAACGUACCCUUUGGUUCGGAAUAACGCUGGGAAACUAGCGCUAAUACCGGAUACGCCCUUUGGGGAAAGGCUUGCUGCCGAAGGAUCGGCCCGCGUCUGAUUAGCUAGUUGGUGGGGUAAUGGCCUACCAAGGCGACGAUCAGUAGCUGGUCUGAGAGGAUGAUCAGCCACACUGGGACUGAGACACGGCCCAGACUCCUACGGGAGGCAGCAGUGGGGAAUAUUGGACAAUGGGCGCAAGCCUGAUCCAGCCAUGCCGCGUGAGUGAUGAAGGCCUUAGGGUUGUAAAGCUCUUUUGUCCGGGACGAUAAUGACGGUACCGGAAGAAUAAGCCCCGGCUAACUUCGUGCCAGCAGCCGCGGUAAUACGAAGGGGGCUAGCGUUGCUCGGAAUCACUGGGCGUAAAGGGCGCGUAGGCGGCCAUUCAAGUCGGGGGUGAAAGCCUGUGGCUCAACCACAGAAUUGCCUUCGAUACUGUUUGGCUUGAGUUUGGUAGAGGUUGGUGGAACUGCGAGUGUAGAGGUGAAAUUCGUAGA